rnacentral:misc_RNA from 1 species
AAGGAAAAGCAACCAACAUUCGCGACUCUCCGUAGCACGCGCAUCGACAGCGGACCACGAGUGGCAUCCAGACGUACCCACCGCUUGCUGCGACAUCUGUGCGUCAAACACCCUAGAGUGCCAUCCUCAUACCCGACUUCCCGUACAGUCAGGCAUACCCACUGUGUCUCAGUCAUGGCAACCAACGGCAAUCGGCACGCCUCCGAUGCUGGGGCCGCAGAGGGACACCCGUUCCUCGGUCGCGAGCUGCGCGUUGAGCUGACGGACGGCCGCGUCAUCGUCGGUACCCUCAUCGCCUACGAGGGCAGUGGUGACUUGCUGCUGCAGGCUGCUGUCGAGCAGCGCAUGUACAAAGACGGCGAAGUCACCAUGCGCGGGCUGAAUCUGCUCGCUAUCCCCUUUAAGCACGUGAAGGGACUGCAUCGCCGUCGGCCGGGUCUGGGGCCGAUCGUGCUCACCAGCGGCGAGGCAGAGAGGGAGACGCCGGCGUUGAUGGUGUAAGGAACGUAGCAAGUGGUGCAUGGAUCAAGCAAGGCGGAACCGGGAGAAGGGGAGAAAGGCGAUGAAUGGGUGAAUGGUCGGGAACACAGCAGUCGACUCUCAGUACGUCGACAGAUCGUUCCUUGUCACGUGAGUUUUCUACAGACACCCCCCCCCUCUUGCCUCCCCCUCGCUCUCUCUCCCUCCGUGUGUGCCUGUCUCUGCCUCUUCCCUUUUCUCUCGCUCGUCCUCUGCUGCUGCUUUGCUAACAUUAUGGCCAUCGUCGCGCCAGCGUGUCCUCUCUGUCGUCCCCUCCCCCUCCCCGUUAACUUCGCUUCGUCUUGGGUGGCCGUCGUUGUGAGUGGCAGCUCACUGACACAUACGCGCGUAUGCAUCAGAUACACACACGCACACACACACACACACUUACUCUAUCUCCCUCUCGCUGAUCUUCCCCCAUUCCCACCCCAUCCCCAUUUUUCCGUGGGCCUGACUGUCGUUGUUGUGCGUCGUCGUUUAGUUUGUGUGUCUUGGUCGGAGGCGUGGUGGUGAUGUUGGGGGGGGGGGGGCUGCAUAAUUAACGUCUCUAUUCUUCUCACCCUUCUUCGGUUCUUUCGGAACUCGCACUCUUCUCGUGUGGGUGUCGCUUCGUGUUCUUUUUUUUUCGGAGCGAGGAAGGGCCUCUCGUAGUGUUGUGGUGCACACGGAGGUGGCGACGCAGAUGCAGAGAGGGCGAUGUGGAGCUGGCAAGGCAUCUGCUCCGCUUUUCGUCUUUAUCGUUUCUCGCCACUCCGGUGUCUCUUGCUGCGCGGUGCCCCAACGCGCAUGUCGACGCGUGCCUGAUUCUGUACGAGUGCUUAAGGAGUGCCUCCCUGCAGACACCCAGGAAGGUACCGGCUGUGAAAAAAAGAGCGACAAC